rnacentral:rRNA from 1 species
GUUGUAAUUUGUAGAGGANGCUUUUGGCGCGGUGCCUUCCGAGUUCCCUGGAACGGGACGCCUUAGAGGGUGAGAGCCCCGUACGGUUGGACACCAAGCCUCUGUAAAGCUCCUUCGACGAGUCGAGUAGUUUGGGAAUGCUGCUCUAAAUGGGAGGUAAAUUUCUUCUAAAGCUAAAUAUUGGCCAGAGACCGAUAGCGCACAAGUAGAGUGAUCGAAAGAUGAAAAGCACUUUGAAAAGAGGGUUAAACAGCACGUGAAAUUGUUGAAAGGGAAGCGUUUGCGACCAGACCUUUUCCUGGCGGAUCAUCCGGUGGUUUCCACCGGUGCACUUCGCCAGGUCGAGGCCAGCAUCGGUCUCUGUAGGGGGAUAAAAGCUCGGGGAACGUAGCUCCUCCGGGAGUGUUAUAGCCCUCUGCAUAAUACCCUUACGGGGACCGAGGACCGCGCCUUCGGGCAAGGAUGCUGGCGUAAUG